rnacentral:rRNA from 1 species
GGGGUACACGAGUGGCGCACGGGUGAGUAACGCGUAUGCAACCUGCCCUGUACAGGGGGAUAGCCCGGAGAAAUCCGGAUUAAUACCCCAUAGUUUUUAUGAGUCGCAUGGCUUAUAAAAUAAAGUUUCGGCGGUACAGGAUGGGCAUGCGUGGCAUUAGCUAGUUGGUAAGGUAACGGCUUACCAAGGCGACGAUGCCUAGGGGUUCUGAGAGGAUGAUCCCCCACACUGGGACUGAGACACGGCCCAGACUCCUACGGGAGGCAGCAGUGAGGAAUAUUGGUCAAUGGGCGAGAGCCUGAACCAGCCAUCCCGCGUGCAGGAUGACGGCCCUACGGGUUGUAAACUGCUUUUAUGUACCAAGAAUGUGUUCUACGUGUAGGAUUUUGACGGUAGUACAUGAAUAAGCAUCGGCUAACUCCGUGCCAGCAGCCGCGGUAAUACGGAGGAUGCAAGCGUUAUCCGGAUUCAUUGGGUUUAAAGGGUGCGUAGGCGGCUAUAUAAGUCAGUGGUGAAAUGCUGCAGCUCAACUGUAGAACUGCCAUUGAAACUGUAUAGCUUGAGUGCGCCUGAGGUAGGCGGAAUGAGUAGUGUAGCGGUGAAAUGCUUAGAUAUUACUCAGAACACCGAUUGCGAAGGCAGCUUACUAAAGCGUAACUGACGCUGAUGCACGAAAGCGUGGGGAGCGAACAGGAUUAGAUACCCUGGUAGUCCACGCCGUAAACGAUGAUAACUCGCUGUUGGCGAUACACAGUCAGCGGCUUAGCGAAAGCAUUAAGUUAUCCACCUGGGGAGUACGAUCGCAAGGUUGAAACUCAAAGGAAUUGACGGGGGCCCGCACAAGCGGAGGAACAUGUGGUUUAAUUCGAUGAUACGCGAGGAACCUUACCUGGGCUUAAAUGUGGAUUGACCGUA